CCUUCGAUAGCUCAGAUGGUAGAGCGGUGGACUGUAGAUUUGAAUGUGGCUUCAGGCAUGAUCAGAAAUCCAUAGGUCGCUGGUUCAAAUCCGGCUCGAAGGA
rnacentral:tRNA from 2 species